rnacentral:rRNA from 1 species
GACGAACGCUGGCGGCGUGCUUAACACAUGCAAGUCGAACGAAGAGCGAUUGAAGCUUGCUUCUAUCAAUCUUAGUGGCGAACGGGUGAGUAACGCGUAAUCAACCUGCCCUUCAGAGGGGGACAACAGUUGGGAACGACUGCUAAUACCGCAUACGAACCAAUCGCGGCAUCGGGGCUGGAUGAAAGGUGGCCGCUAUUUAUAAGCUAGCACUGAAGUAGGGGAUUGCGUCGGAUUAGCUAGUUGGAGGGGGAAAGGCCCAACAAGGCGAGGGUCCGUAGGCGGGCGGGGAGGAUGGACGGGCCAAUUGGGAACGGGACACGGCCCAGAAUCCUAAGGGAGGGAGCAGGGGGGGAUCUUCCGCAAUUGACGAAAGUCUGACGCAGCCAAGCCGCGGGAGGGAUGAAGGCCUUCGGGUUGUAAAGCUCCGUUAAUCGGGAAGAAUGGUCCUUGUGCGAAUAGCGCGAGGAUUUGACGGUACCGGAAGAGAAAGCACCGGCUAACUACGUG